CUAUAGGUUGUUGGAGAGCUUAUACAAAGUUCUCUGGACUUGUCCACACCAUAACUCUAUUCUUCUCCCGGUCUGCUGACUCUCCUCACGCAGUCUCUCUCUGUUGUCUCUUCUCUCAGCCUCUCUCUCAAACUCUUUCGUCGGCGAUAUCUCCUGCGAAUUAGGAAUAGCUGAUCCUCUCAGACCCGACUCUUCACCCCGUGUCCGCCUUUCAUCGCCGCCGAAAGCAACCUCGACGCCGUUGCCGGCGGAGGAAUGCCGUCAUAGGAGCCACGGAGCACUCUGCUGCUGGUGAUUUUACUUUUCUGACCUUAUACGAAUUUGUUUGUCUGUUUGAUGAGAAAAUAUGGAAAACUAGAGAAAUCUUUUGAAUUUAGGGUUUGCAAUAACGCUAAUUUUGAGUAUGAUUUGUGAUGGGUGUUGGGUAUCCUUCCUCUCUUGUACUUUUUCCUCUUGGUUUUUGUUCUUCUCUUCCAACUUAUGGCCUCAAUGAUAUUAGAUAAGGCAUUUUUAAUGAUGUUGCUAAUACUCCCUUAAAGCAUUUUGAUUUUUGACAUUUGGUUAUGUUGGUUGGAGAAUUGGAGACUUAAGAUUUUGAUUCUUGAAUGCUAUUGCUCUCUGUGCAUUUCCACUUCCACAGUGCAGAGCACACAGAGCAGGAAACAAAACCCAGAAAAACAAAAAAAACAAAAAAACCGAAACCACGUUCGGUACCAAAUCGGUACUCAGUCCAAAAUCGAACUGUACCGGAAAUAUUUUCAGUAUCGGUUUCUCUUCAUACCGUACCGAAGUGUAUCUUACCCACCCCUUCUGAGAGAUGCAUUUGAAUCAAUAACGAAAAUGGCUUCGUUUUGGCUGGCCUCUCGCUCGUCACGUAGGUUUCUGAAACCUUCAGUGUCCCUCUCCCGCACCCUAUUCGCAGUCUCUUCUUAUCACCCAACUACAGCCACCGCCAUUCCUAACCCUAACCCUAACCCUUAUCAGAACGCAAGCCCGUUUGGCCCAUUCAAUCAAAGGCACCGUUGGAGUCCAAGCUCCGUUGAAUUUGAUCUCAGACUCUUAGCGCACCUCUCCAGCUUGCCUUCGUCAACUGGCGAGAAGAACGACGGAAAUCAGGGCGGCCAUGGCACGAAGGCUGAGGCUUCUUGGAUCGACUUGUAUUUGCCGAGGCAAGCUCGGCCUUAUGCUAAGCUCGCUCGCCUUGACCGGCCCAUUGGCACCUGGUUGCUCGCUUGGCCUUGUAUGUGGUCAAUAACAUUGGCAGCAAGCCCAGGGCACCUUCCUGAUUUUAAGAUGAUGACACUAUUUGGAUGUGGCGCUCUGCUUUUGAGGGGCGCUGGAUGCACCGUAAAUGAUCUCCUUGACCGGGAUAUUGAUACCAUGGUCGCACGCACAAAGUUGCGGCCAGUUGCAAGUGGUGUUUUGACACCCUUUCAGGGGCUUUGCUUUCUUGGAUUUCAAUUGCUUUUGGGUCUUGGGAUUCUCCUCCAACUGAAUAAUUAUAGCCGUGUUUUAGGGGCUUCAUCUUUGUUGCUAGUUUUCUCCUAUCCUCUCAUGAAGAGGUUCACAUUCUGGCCUCAAGCCUAUUUAGGGUUAACCUUCAAUUGGGGAGCUUUGUUAGGAUGGGCUGCUGUUAAAGGAAGCAUUGAUCCAGCUGUAGUGCUCCCAUUGUACUUUUCUGGAGUAUGCUGGACACUUGUGUAUGAUACGAUAUAUGCACAUCAGGACAAAGAAGAUGAUUUGAAAGUAGGUGUUAAGUCUACGGCUUUGAGAUUUGACGAUUCAACUAAGGAGUGGAUUACUGGCUUUGGAAUUUUGUGCAUGAGUAGUCUUGCCCUUAGUGGAUAUAAUGCUGAAAUUGGUUUUCUUCUUUCUUCGUUUGUUGGCCAUAUUAUGCAUUUUUGUCGGCUGCUUCUGGACAAUUAGCUUGGCAGAUAUGGACAGCUGACCUUUCAUCCCGGGCUGAUUGCAAUAGAAAAUUUGUGUCGAACAAAUGGUUUGGUGCUAUUAUUUUCAGUGGAAUCCUGUUUGGAAGACUUUCAUCUUAGGGGUAAAGAAUGGUUGGAUGCAACCUCGGGGAACUACAAUUAAUUCGAGUAUGGGUCUCUUUUACAAAUGCAUGUCUUCACCUUCUGACUGCAACAGAAUUGCAUACUGAUACGGUCGAAGUUUAAAUGAUUUAUGGUGACCUGCUUGUUAAAUUUGCAAGAAAGCUCCUUGAUUGGAUAAAUGGAGGCUGCGAGAUUAUGCGUGUCGCGUCUACACUAGAGGUCUCCCACUGCAAGAUAUUUGCUAUUGUGGUUGCAUAACUAUACACCAGACCCUGUUCUUGGGGCUUGUUCAAUUGUAAGGGCAGAACGAUUUUGGCAGUCAAUGCAUUUGCAACUAACGUAGUAAUAUCCAUUUCCUAGGUGGCAA